GAUGAACGCUGGCGGCGUGCCUAAUACAUGCAAGUCGAGCGAACAGACGAGGAGCUUGCUCCUCUGACGUUAGCGGCGGACGGGUGAGUAACACGUGGAUAACCUACCUAUAAGACUGGGAUAACUUCGGGAAACCGGAGCUAAUACCGGAUAAUAUAUUGAACCGCAUGGUUCAAUAGUGAAAGACGGUUUUGCUGUCACUUAUAGAUGGAUCCGCGCCGCAUUAGCUAGUUGGUAAGGUAACGGCUUACCAAGGCAACGAUGCGUAGCCGACCUGAGAGGGUGAUCGGCAACGAGGGAAGAUGGACACGGGCGAGGCGCCUACGGGAGGCAGCAGUAGGGAAUCUUCCGCAAUGGGCGAAAGCCUGACGGAGCAUCGCAGCGGGAAUGAUGAAGGUCUUAGGAUCGUAAAACUCUGUUAUUAGGGAAGAACAAAUGUGUAAGUAACUAUGCACGUCUAGACGGGACCUAAUCAGAAAGCCACGGCUAACUACGU
rnacentral:rRNA from 1 species